rnacentral:rRNA from 1 species
UCUUGGUCAUUUAGAGGAAGUAAAAGUCGUAACAAGGUUUCCGUAGGUGAACCUGCGGAAGGAUCAUUAUAGAAUGAACCCCCCCGCCCAAGGCUAACGCUGAAGGUGGGGUCCUCUUUUAAACCCGUGCAAUUAGUGAAGUCUGAGCAAUGUUUACGAAAUAGUCAAAACUUUCAACAACGGAUCUCUUGGUUCUGGCAUCGAUGAAGAACGCAGCGAAAUGCGAUAAGUAAUGUGAAUUGCAGAAUUCAGUGAAUCAUCGAAUCUUUGAACGCACAUUGCGCCCCUUGGUAUUCCGAGGGGCAUGCCUGUUCGAGCGUCAUUAUGACCACUCAAGCCUAGCUUGGUAUUGGGGUUCGCGGUCUCGCGGCCCUUAAAAUCAGUGGCGGUGCCCUCUGGCUCUAAGCGUAGUAAUUUAUCUCGCUAUUGGGUCCGGCGGUUGCUUGCUAACAACCCCUAAUUUCUAAGGUUGACCUCGGAUCAGGUAGGGAUACCCGCUGAACUUAAGCAUAUCAAUAAGCGGAGGAA